rnacentral:rRNA from 1 species
GAUGAACGCUGGCGGCGUGCCUAAUACAUGCAAGUCGAGCGAACAGACGAGGAGCUUGCUCCUCUGACGUUAGCGGCGGACGGGUGAGUAACACGUGGAUAACCUACCUAUAAGACUGGGAUAACUUCGGGAAACCGGAGCUAAUACCGGAUAAUAUAUUGAACCGCAUGGUUCAAUAGUGAAAGACGGUUUUGCUGUCACUUAUAGAUGGAUCCGCGCCGCAUUAGCUAGUUGGUAAGGUAACGGCUUACCAAGGCGACGAUGCGUAGCCGACCGGAGAGGGUGAUCGGCCACACUGGAACUGAGACACGGUCCAGACUCCUACGGGAGGCAGCAGUAGGGAAUCUUCCGCAAUGGGCGAAAGCCUGACGGAGCAACGCCGCGUGAGUGAUGAAGGUCUUCGGAUCGUAAAACUCUGUUAUUAGGUAAGAACAAAUGUGUAAGUAACUAUGCACGUCUUGACGGUACCUAAUCAGAAAGCCACGGCUAACUACGUG